rnacentral:rRNA from 1 species
GAUGAACGCUGGCGGUAUGCCUAACACAUGCAAGUCGAACGGUGUCUUCGGACAUAGUGGCGGACGGGUGAGUAACGCGUGAGAAUCUACCUCUUGGUUGGGGACAACAGUUGGAAACGACUGCUAAUACCCAAUGUGCCGUAAGGUGAAAGAUUUAUUGCCAGGAGAAGAGCUCGCGUCUGAUUAGCUAGUUGGCGGGGUAAAGGCCCACCAAGGCGGCGAUCAGUAGCUGGUCUGAGAGGAUGAGCAGCCACACUGGGACUGAGACACGGCCCAGACUCCUACGGGAGGCAGCAGUGGGGAAUUUUCCGCAAUGGGCGAAAGCCUGACGGAGCAAUACCGCGUGAGGGAGGAAGGCUCUUGGGUUGUAAACCUCUUUUCUUAGGGAAGAACACAAUGACGGUACCUA